rfam:Photobacterium halotolerans strain S2753 contig0018, whole genome shotgun sequence.
UUACUUAAUUUCUUAGCCUUUAUGGCUAUGGGCUGGUGGCUAAAAAGCCACCGGCCC